GCUGCAUAGAAAUGAAGAGACUCAUAUAUAUAUAAUUAUAGCAUUGUACACAAUCUUACCCGCAUCCAAGUCCACUAAUAAAACGACCCAAGAUUUCCAUCCUGCAUGGGUAAUUCAGUAUUUCAUAUCUUGCCGAGCGCCUUAUAUCGCGAGGCAACUAAUACUGCAUCGUAUCUCAGAAAGCCUUUGUAUGUAUGUAUGUAUGUAUGUCACGCUCAGGAAUGUCAUGCUUCAGGAAUGCGAAAUUGGGUGUGGCUACAUUCAGUUAAUCUUUAUUACCUCCAAACUGAUCUACGUAUUAGUUAAUGUACAGUGUAGAGGGGUUUAUGACAGUAAACCUCCCGACUACGAGGGCGUAAGCCCGAGGGGGAGGUGUGGUUUACUGUCAUAAACCCCGAGGCACUAUGCAUUAAUUGAUAUAUGUCCCAUCUGAUUGGCUGACUGGUUGCUAUGCAUCAAGCUGCAUGACUACCACAUAGCAACACUAUUCAAACAAGAAGACAACUAGGAAAAGAGACACCAGGGCUGCUGUCCACACUCAAAUCCUUGCGCAGCCUGGACAGAAUAUGAGCAGCCAGCCCCUCCCUCCAAAGCGAACGGUACAGAGCCACUCCCCCUCUCUGUUCAAUUAGUCAGCCCCUCCCUCCAACGAAACAACACAGCUAGCUCUAGACGGUGUCUAGACCAGCUCUCUUCAGCUAUGCCAGGCUGUUAGGCAAGCAAAGAAGCUGAACAGGCCUAGUGCAGUGCGUGCAGUACUAGUGCUAGUGAGCAAGGCUCAGCCUGAGCCCUAGCCCUCUCCCAGAGUGUCUCUAAAGCAGCUCCUUCUGCAAGCACACAGCAGAAUUUUUGAUGAACUAGUCUACAGACUACACCCUCUGUCUCUAUGUUUUCAUUUAUGACAUUUUGUUUCUCAUGCAAGACAUUUUCAUUCAUCGAAAACACCAUUAAUUAA